rnacentral:rRNA from 1 species
UACAGAGGUCUCAAGCGUUGUUCGGAUUCAUUGGGCGUAAAGGGUGCGUAGGCGGCGAGGUAAGUCGGAUGUGAAAUCCCAGGGCUCAACCCUGGAACUGCAUUCGAUACUGCGGUGCUUGAGGACUGGAGAGGAGACUGGAAUUUACGGUGUAGCAGUGAAAUGCGUAGAGAUCGUAAGGAAGACCAGUGGCGAAGGCGGGGUCUCUGGACAGUUCCUGACACUGAGGCACGAAGGCCAGGGGAGCAAACGGGG